rnacentral:rRNA from 1 species
AGCAGCCGCGGUAAUUCUAGCUCCAAUAGUGUAUAUUAAAGUUGUUGCAGUUAAAAAGCUCGUAGUUGAAUUUCGAAAUUUUUUAUCGGUUGAAUCAACAGGUUCGUACUGAUUUUAAGAAUUUCUACCUUCUGGAGAACCUUAAUGUCAUUUAUUUGAUGUUUUGGGAAACCAGGACUGUUACCUUGAAAAAAUUAGAGUGUUUAAAGCAGGCUUAUGUCUGAAUAUAUUAGCAUGGAAUAAUGAAAUAGGACGGCAUGGUUCUAUUUUGUUGGUUUCUAGGAUCACCGUAAUGAUUAAUAGGGAUAGUUGGGGGCAUUAGUAUUCAAUUGUCAGAGGUGAAAUUCUUGGAUUUAUUGAAGACUAACUUCUGCGAAAGCAUUUGCCAAGGAUGUUUUCAUUAAUCAAGAACGAAAGUUAGGGGAUCGAAGACGAUCAGAUACCGUCGUAGUCUUAACCAUAAACUAUGCCGACUAGGAAUCGGACGAAGUUAAUUUUUUAAUGACUCGUUCGGCGCCUU